AAAGACCGUCCCAGUUCGGAUUGCAGGCUGCAACCCGCCUGCAUGAAGUUGGAAUCGCUAGUAAUCGCGGAUCAGCAUGCCGCGGUGAAUACGUUCCCGGGCCUUGUACACACCGCCCGUCACACCAUGAGAGUCGGGAACACCCGAAGUCCGUAGCCUAACCGCAAGGAGGGCGCGGCCGAAGGUGGGUUCGAUAAUUGGGGUGAAGUCGUAACAAGGUACC
rnacentral:rRNA from 1 species